rnacentral:rRNA from 1 species
GAUGAACGCUGGCGGCGUGCCUAAUACAUGCAAGUCGAGCGAAUGGAUUAAGAGCUUGCUCUUAUGAAGUUAGCGGCGGACGGGUGAGAAACACGUGGGUAACCUGCCCAUAAGACUGGGAUAACUCCGGGAAACCGGGGCUAAUACCGGAUAACAUUUUGAACCGCAUGGUUCGAAAUUGAAAGGCGGCUUCGGCUGUCACUUAUGGAUGGACCCGCGUCGCAUUAGCUAGUUGGUGAGGUAACGGCUCACCAAGGCAACGAUGCGUAGCCGACCUGGGAGGGUGAUCGGCCACACUGGGACUGAGACACGGCCCAGACUCCUACGGGAGGCAGCAGUAGGGAAUCUUCCGCAAUGGACGAAAGUCUGACGGAGCAACGCCGCGUGAGUGAUGAAGGCUUUCGGGUCGUAAAACUCUGUUGUUAGGGAAGAACAAGUGCUAGUUGAAUAAGCUGACACCUUGACGGUACCUAACCAGAAAGCCACGGCUAACUACGUGCCAGCAGCCGCAGUAA